GCAUCAUCACCGUCUAUUUCAGAUUUGUUACUCUUCCUCCGCCUAACCCAUUCCAUGACCACUACAGCUACAACAUCUAUGGAGCACCACUAAAGCUAGAGAAAUCAACAUUUCUGUUCUAAUUUUCAUUAUUUUUUUUCUUAUAGGUUGCUUUGGAUAUCGAGUACCACCAUAACAUAUUACUAUCCCACCGAAAAGUGAAUUCCAAGGAAGUUAUAGUUUGAUGGUAUUCAACUGGUGGGUGGUGGCAGUGCAUUAAUCCAUGAAUUUUAUUAUCGAGGACACGUUGAUUAGAUAUCAAGUGGAGCUGAAACUCACCGAUAUUAAGAAAAAACAUCGGCGAACAUAGAUAUAUUGCUGAGAAUUGUUGUCAGAGUUAGUGAAAGUCAGGAAUAUAUAGUUGGAGGUAAUUUGUAUAGUUGUGUUUUAUUUUGUAAAGAAUGACUUUGAAAAUUAAAAAAAAAAGAGAGACAUGAGAAGCAAGAUAUCUCGUGUUAACGGAUUCAAAAUAUGAACGUAAUUGUGGAAUGACUCAACACUAGACUAGAUUAGUUGUUUGAAGCAGGUGUUACUGUGGAAGUAAACUGAAAGAAUGUUGAAGUAAAUUGAAAGAAUGUGAAAAAAAAGGUA
rnacentral:lncRNA from 1 species